GCGUGGGUCGGCCCAUGGCGUAUGAGCCAUGUGGCUGGGGGACACCGUCGCCUCAUUCCCCGCGGGCGGCGGAACGGUCCGGGAGGUGAAUCGCACCUCCCGGACUGUG
rnacentral:ncRNA from 1 species